GUGCAAAUGACGAUGCAGAAAAUGGCAAAGAAAUGCAAAGAGAGAAAAAAAUACUCAGCAUCUGCCACAACCUUGGUAACUCACAGGAUGGCACCAGGUAACAUUCAUUGAGAACUGACAGGGGCCAGGCUUGCCACUAAGCAGUUCAUGCGCAGUGACUCAUUUAAUCUGCAUGACAACCUGAGAGUCAGAACCUGAACACUUUUGGCGCCCAUGGCAAAAUAUUUCUGAGAGGACUGAAUGAGAUAAUCCAUUUAAAGAAUUUAACACAACAUAUGUUUCUUGAACCUCCGAGUCGGUGAUGGCUACUCGAUAAGCAGAGCACU
rnacentral:lncRNA from 1 species